UUAAAGGUGCAGCUGGUAUAUCUGGCAUAUU
rnacentral:piRNA from 1 species